rnacentral:lncRNA from 1 species
CCUGUGAGGUUUGUGGCUUAGAAGACUUGUGACCCCAUACCUCUUUGUGUCGUUUUGAAAUUUUGCCUCCAGUUCUGUUUCUCUGACAAGACCCAUGGCCACCUGCAGCCUAAUGCUGCCAUGAAGCUUUGUUCUGCUCUUUGGUUGCUGCUGGGUUCUUCUUGGAUUGAAAAGAAAAAUCACUUCAAUCAGUCCAUCUAUAAUGAAAUACUGAUCUAAUGUUUGAUACUCCACCAUGAAAUUAAAAUGAAACCGCCCUUGCCACCUCCACCCCCAGCGCCUGUUUCCGAAAGUUUUAUGAAGCUUCGUGGAUGCUUUACCUCAAAGAUGCCCUUGGGCUUCCUCCAGGAGAAUGAAGAGGGGCAGGUCUCCAGCUGAAUCUGUGCCUACGAAUGCAAUCAAAGUCUCAUCAAAGUCUCAGUUCCUGAGGCAGAAGAGAUGGGUGUGUCUUAUCCAAGAUUUCUCUGGCUCCAGGGGCAGGUCUCCAAUGCAAACAAAGUCUCAUCAAAGUCUCAGUUCCUGAGGCAGAAGAGAUGGGUGUGUCUUAUCCAAGAUUUCUCUGGCUCCAGGGGCAGGUCUCCAGCUGAAUCUGUGCCUACAAAUGGAAUCAAAGUCUCAUCAAAGUCUCAGUCAGUUCCUGAGGCAGAAGAGGACAUGAGACUUAACAACCUGCUAAAAAUGAGCUUUUGGGACCUACCCAUCAAGGAAUAAACUGUCCUCGCCAUGAGAGAUCAAAUGAAACCUGAGACCAGAGACUCAUUUUCUUGUAAAAUGCUUUCUCCAACAGAUUUUUAAAAAGAAAAGGGGGGAAAUGUGAAAGGAAAAUAUCUGUGGUCCCCAAAAUCACGAAGGAAAACUCAAGCCGGGAACUGCUUAGGGCAAACCUGCCUCCCAUUCUAUUCAAAGUCACUCCUUUGCCCAAUCAGAUAGAUGCUUAUCUGAUUUGCCUCCUUUGGAAAGGCUGAUCAGAAACUCAAAAGAAUGGAACCAUUUGUGUAACAGCCAUCUGUGACCUGGAAGCUUCCUUCCCACUUCAGUCUUCCUGCCUUUGCUUCAAGUUGUCCUGUCUUUCCAGAUGAAGCAAUGUACUUCUUAACAUAUAUUGACUGAUGUCUCAUGAUGUCUCCCUAAAUGUAUGAAACCAAGCUGUGCCUGACAACCUUGGACAUAUUUUGUCAAGACUUCCCUGAGGCUGUCAUUGGUGCAUCCUCAACCUUGGCAAAAUAAACUUUCUAAA